UACGGGGGGGGCAAGCGUUGUUCGGAAUUACUGGGCGUAAAGGGCUCGUAGGUGGCCAACUAAGUCAGACGUGAAAUCCCUCGGCUUAACCGGGGAACUGCGUCUGAUACUGGAUGGCUUGAGUUCGGGAGAGGGAUGCGGAAUUCCAGGUGUAGCGGUGAAAUGCGUAGAUAUCUGGAGGAAUACCGGUGGCGAAGGCGGCAUCCUGGACCGGCAUUGACGCUGAGGAGCGAAAGCUAGGGGAGCAAACAGG
rnacentral:rRNA from 1 species